rnacentral:tRNA from 1 species
UACUCCUGGCGGGACAAACUAAAUAAUCGAACCCGCGACAUUGGGCUCAUAAGACCCACACUCUACCACUGAGAUACAAGAGC